rnacentral:misc_RNA from 1 species
AUUACAUCCAAAAUUGAAUCCCAUGUUUUAAAGUAUUAGUGUUAAACCCUAUUUCAGUUUGGAUUACAGUAUCUACUCUCCCUUAAUUGUCUCUUUGAAACUCCUCUUGACCCACUUUGUUUGAUGAAAUUGCUUUAGGGUUUUAAUUACCUGCAGACUAAAAUUUUAAUUUGACAUAUGAUUAUGCAAAUAGUCAAGUAUUGAGCGAGAAAUCUUACAAAGAUGUUUUAGACACAAGGUUGACUCUUUAAUUAUUAUUUGUAUGUUGACUAUCGUUGCAUGUAAAAUUGAAUACAAACCUUUUCUACUUGGUAACUCUGUCCUGAUCUUAGACUUCUAAGAGCCCCUGGAGAAGUGAUGAGAACUUCGGAAAGAAAUUUUUAGUGUUGUUUUCAAUUGCAUUUGUUUGUAAACUUCUGGGUUGAAACUGUAACGUUUUAAAGCAUGAGAUUUGAUAUGUAAAAAUCCCUAAAGUGAGUGUUGGUUGUAAUUAUCCUUUGGAGCAAGGACUAAACAAUUUUUGUAGCAAUUUGCGUUAAUCAGGAUUGAAGUUUCAAAUGUAUUUUUUUGAUGGUUACAAUAGUGUAAUUUUAUUCUUCAAUGAGUAUUUCAGUGGUGUAAACUUUCUGUUAAAG